rnacentral:rRNA from 1 species
CUGCAGCCCGAGUGGUGAUCGAUUUUAUUGAGCCUAAAGCGUCCGUAGCCGGACUAGUAAACCCUUGGGUAAAUUGGGCAGCUUAACUGUCCAAAUUCUGAGGGGACUGCUAGUCUUGGGACCGGGAGAGGUCAGAGGUACUCAAGGGGUAGGGGCUAAAUCCUGUAAUCCUUUGGGGACCACCAGUGGCGAAGGCGUCUGACUAGAACGGAUCCGACGGUAAGGGACGAAACCCUGGGGCGCGAACCGGAUUAGAUACCCGAGUAGUCC